rnacentral:rRNA from 1 species
GGUGCUCGAGUGGCGAACGGGUGAGUAACACGUGAGUAACCUGCCCUCGACUUUGGGAUAACUUCAGGAAACUGGGGCUAAUACCGGAUAGGAGCUCCUGCUGCAUGGUGGGGGUUGGAAAGUUUCGGCGGUUGGGGAUGGACUCGCGGCUUAUCAGCUUGUUGGUGGGGUAGUGGCUUACCAAGGCUUUGACGGGUAGCCGGCCUGAGAGGGUGACCGGCCACAUUGGGACUGAGAUACGGCCCAG